rnacentral:rRNA from 1 species
UUUUUAAAUUGCUGUGGUAUUUUGACUAUACAAAGGUAUUGAAAUAAGAUUUUAAUUGAAUGCUAAGAGAAUGGAAUUUCAGAAAAAAACUUUUUUCAAGUUAAAAAUUGAAAUUUUUUUAAUUUGUGCAGAAACAAUUAUUAAUAUUAAGGACAAGAAGACCCUAUGAAUUUAUAAAUUUUAUUUAAUAUGUAACUACUAUUAAAAAAAUUUUGGCUGGGGCGGCGGAAAAAUAUUUAAAACUUUUUUAAAAUAAAAUGACCCAUUAUUAAUGAUUAUAUGUUAAAUACUCUAGGGAAAACAGCGUAAA